rnacentral:rRNA from 1 species
GUGGGGAAUAUUGGACAAUGGGGGCAACCCUGAUCCAGCAAUGCCGCGUGUGUGAAGAAGGUCUUCGGAUUGUAAAGCACUUUCGACGGGGACGAUGAUGACGGUACCCGUAGAAGAAGCCCCGGCUAACUUCGUGCCAGCAGCCGCGGUAAUACGAAGGGGGCUAGCGUUGCUCGGAAUGACUGGGCGUAAAGGGCGUGUAGGCGGUUUGUACAGUCAGAUGUGAAAUCCCCGGGCUUAACCUGGGAGCUGCAUUUGAUACGUGCAGACUAGAGUGUGAGAGAGGGUUGUGGAAUUCCCAGUGUAGAGGUGAAAUUCGUAGAUAUUGGGAAGAACACCGGUGGCGAAGGCGGCAACCUGGCUCAUUACUGACGCUGAGGCGCGAAAGCGUGGGGAGCAAACAGGAUUAGAUACCCGAGUAGUCC